UACAGAGGGGGCAAGCGUUAUUCGGAAUUAUUGGGCGUAAAGGGCGCGUAGGCGGCCUGGCAAGUGGAAGGUGAAAUCCCUCGGCUUAACCGAGGAACUGCCCUCCAAACUGCUUGGCUUGAGUCCGGGAGAGGUGAGUGGAAUUCCCAGUGUAGCGGUGAAAUGCGUAGAUAUCUGGAGGAACACCGGUGGCGAAGGCGGCAUCCUGGACCGGUAUUGACGCUGAGGCGCGAAAGCCAGGGGAGCAAACGGG
rnacentral:rRNA from 1 species